rnacentral:tRNA from 1 species
GGCUCGUUAGUACAUCGGUUAGUAUUCUGGCUUGUCACGCCAGUGAAAGGGGUUCGAUCCCCCUACGAGCCGCCA